UACGUAGGGGGCAAGCGUUGUCCGGAUUUAUUGGGCGUAAAGAGCGUGUAGGCGGCUUUGCAAGUCCGUUGUGAAAACUCGAGGCUCAACCUCGAGACGCCGGUGGAAACUGCAAAGCUAGAGUCCGGAAGAGGCGAGUGGAACUCCUGGUGUAGCGGUGGAAUGCGCAGAUAUCAGGAAGAACACCAACGGCGAAGGCAGCUCGCUGGGACGGUACUGACGCUGAGACGCGAAAGCGUGGGGAGCGAACAGG
rnacentral:rRNA from 1 species